rnacentral:rRNA from 1 species
GAUGAACGCUGGCGGCGUGCCUAAUACAUGCAAGUCGAGCGAACAGACGAGGAGCUUGCUCCUUUGACGUUAGCGGCGGACGGGUGAGUAACACGUGGGUAACCUACCUAUAAGACUGGAAUAACUUCGGGAAACCGGAGCUAAUACCGGAUAAUAUUUCGAACCGCAUGGUUCGAUAGUGAAAGAUGGCUCUGCUAUCACUUAUAGAUGGACCUGCGCCGUAUUAGCUAGUUGGUAAGGUAACGGCUUACCAAGGCAACGAUACGUAGCCGACCUGAGAGGGUGAUCGGCCACACUGGAACUGAGACACGGUCCAGACUCCUACGGGAGGCAGCAGUAGGGAAUCUUCCGCAAUGGGCGAAAGCCUGACGGAGCAACGCCGCGUGAGUGAUGAAGGUCUUCGGAUCGUAAAACUCUGUUAUUAGGGAAGAACAAACGUGUAAGUAACUGUGCACGUCUUGACGGUACCUAAUCAGAAAGCCACGGCUAACUACGUG